rfam:Populus trichocarpa isolate Nisqually-1 chromosome 6, whole genome shotgun sequence.
UAAUCUUUAUAGGGUAGAUCUUCAUCUAGUUGUGACGGACCCACACCUAACUGUUCAGAAUCACCUGUUAUCACAGGCCCAACUACAUUAUUGAUCUUAUUAGAAAACAGAAGAAUAAAACUAUUUUGCUUGGAAUCAAUUG